rnacentral:rRNA from 1 species
AUUGAACGCUGGCGGCAGGCCUAACACAUGCAAGUCGAGCGAGCGGCGGACGGGUGAGUAAUGUAUGGGGAUCUGCCCGAUGGAGGGGGAUAACUACUGGAAACGGUAGCUAAUACCGCAUACCAUCAGAUGAACCCAUAUGGGAUUAGCUAGUAGGUGGGGUAAAGGCUCACCUAGGCGACGAUCCCUAGCUGGUCUGAGAGGAUGAUCAGCCACACUGGGACUGAGACACGGCCCAGACUCCUACGGGAGGCAGCAGUGGGGAAUAUUGCACAAUGGGCGCAAGCCUGAUGCAGCCAUGCCGCGUGUAUGAAGAAGGCCUUCGGGUUGUAAAGCACUUUCAGCGGGGAGGCGUUACCCGCAGAAGAAGCACCGGCUAACUCCGUGCCAGCAGCCGCGGUAAUAC